UGCAAAUAGAAAUGACAUUGCAUGGCUAUGUAAUGCCCAAUGAACUUUGUAAUUUGCCCUCAGAAUCCUAUCUUUAGAUGGUAAUUAUGAUUUGGUAAUUAAUUUCUCAACGGAAACAUGAGGGCUUUUACUGUAAGUAUAUGGGAGUUUUUUUAGACAUUCAACAAAUGCCUUGUGUGUGAACCUCUUGUACUAUUUUAUAAUUCAGAAGUGUCCCUGUCAAUAUGAAGAUGAAGACACCAUUGUCAUUGAAAUAUGAGACAUUGAGACGCAGUGAAGAAAGUUCUGAUUGGAGAUGGUUUUUGGGGUUUCUCUAACCCUUAUGGUUAUUGUAGGCAGCUAGCCUAAUACCUUAAAUUAAUAUAAAUAUUUAAUUAAAAAAAUAUAAAAUUGUGUGAAAAU